ensembl:rRNA 5S_rRNA 5S ribosomal RNA
GCUUACGGACUUGCCAGCUGAAGAUUGCCCAAUCUUGUCUGAUCUCAGAAGCUAAGAAGGCUUGGGCCUGGUUAGUACUUGGAUGGGAGACUACAUGGGAAUGCCAGGUGCUGUAAGCU